rnacentral:sRNA from 1 species
GCCAGGUGUGGUGGUGCACGCCUGUAAUCCCAGAGACUCUGGAGGCUGAGGCAGGAGGAUCACAAGUUCAAAACCAGCCUCAGCAAUUAGGAAGCCCUAAGCAACUUAGUGAGACCCUGUCUCAA